AUAAAAAGUGAGCAAACAAUUCAUCAUUUGUUAUAUGCAAAGUGAAAACAUAAAUAAAAAUAUGGCUGGAAUUCUCAAGUUUUUUUAUAUUGUGAUCAUUUAUGUUUCUUUGUUUCUUUUUGUAGUUGAGUCUGAAAGAGAAUGUGUUACAGACGCCGAUUGUCAGAAAAAUUGCCAUUUCCUCAUGCAAAUCAUUUUAUUUGCAUGAACGGCCUUUGUGCUCUGGUAUUCCACGAUUAGGGGUUUUCUCACGACAAGUCUAAGGAAUAGUAUCAAGGUGUUUGUGUACAUGCGUAAAUUGGAUAUUAUACUCUCACCUAUGUUAUGUUGUUCUUAAAAGUUUGUUGGAUUAUUGUUUAUGUUUAAUUUGAGUACUAGGUUUUGAUAUUGUGACAUCAUGGCCUAGUUUAAUACUAUGUUCUUGAAUUAUUUUCUUGGAUCUUGAGAAAAUAUUACAUAUUUUAGUUUAUUAUGAAGAUGUUUGUAAAGCUCAAGGCUCUAAGACGUAAAAGUAUUCUAUUUUUAGUUUGGA